rnacentral:rRNA from 1 species
UGCAGAAUCCCGUGAACCAUCGAGUUUUUGAACGCAAGUUGCGCCCGAAGCCAUCCGGUUCAGGGCACGCCUGCCUGGGCGUCA